rnacentral:rRNA from 1 species
UACGUAUGGUGCAAGCGUUAAUCGGAAUUACUGGGCGUAAAGCGUGCGCAGGCGGUGAUGUAAGUCAGGUGUGAAAUCCCCGGGCUUAACCUGGGAACUGCAUUUGUGACUGCAUCGCUGGAGUGCGGCAGAGGGGGAUGGAAUUCCGCGUGUAGCAGUGAAAUGCGUAGAUAUGCGGAGGAACACCGAUGGCGAAGGCAAUCCCCUGGGCCUGCACUGACGCUCAUGCACGAAAGCGUGGGGAGCAAACAGG